GCAAGUCGAACGUGAAACUUAGGUUGAUUACUUCGGUUUGAUACCUUUGUGGAUAGUGGCGAACGGGUGAGUAACACUUUGGUGACCUGCCCCGGAGUGGGGGAUAACCAUUAGAAAUGAUGGCUAAUACCGCAUGGUCCUAUUUGUAUGAGAAUACUGAUAGGUAAAACUCUGGUGCUCUGGGAGGGGCCCGCGGUCGAUUAGUUAGUUGGUGGGGUAAAGGCCUACCAAGGCAAUGAUCGAUAGCUGGUCUGAGAGGACGAUC
rnacentral:rRNA from 1 species